rnacentral:rRNA from 1 species
AGAGUUGAUCCUGGCUUAGGAUGAACGCUGGCGGCGUGCCUAACACAUGCAAGUCGAACGAGCGAGAGAUGAAACCUAGUGAUUCCCAAGCGAGUGGCGGACGGGUGAGUAACGCGUGGGUAACCUGCCUUACAGAGGGGGAUAACAGUCUGAAAAGACUGCUAAUACCGCAUAAGCACACAGUACCGCAUGGUACAGGGUGAAAAGAUUUAUCACUGUAAGAUGGACCCGCGUCUGAUUAGCCAGUUGGCAGGGUAACGGCCUACCAAAGCGACGAUCAGUAGCCGACCUGAGAGGGUGAUCGGCCACAUUGGGACUGAGACACGGCCCAAACUCCUACGGGAGGCAGCAGUGGGGGAUAUUGCACAAUGGAGGAAACUCUGAUGCAGCGAACCGCCGCGUGAGUGAAGAAGUAUUUCGGUAUGUAAAGCUCUAUCAGCAGGGAAGAUAAUGACAGUACCUGACCAAGAAGCCCCGGCUAACUACGUGCCAGCAGCUGC